UUUUAACUGGUAUUUGGGUCCAUUAAUUCACAUUUGCUGUGUUUGAUUCUUUGCACCCUUCAGAGUGGUCCUCUUCUUGUUGUUUGAGGAUAUUUUAUCCUUGUAUGAAAGUUAAAAGUCUACAGUUUGCUCUGGCGUACAUUAACAUAGGACUACCUGUGGUUGUUCAGAUCUGAACUUAUUUACGUUUGGGGAGAGUUAUUUUACAAUUACUCUUGCUAUUAUUUUGAUGAUGUUAAUGAAAGUCACGUGACAGGAGAGACAUGGUGGUGACAUAAAUAGUUUUCUAGCCAUUUUGAUUCGUCAUAAUUCCCACUUGCUUUUAACCUUGGCCUAGUAUUUUAUAAUGGGUUAAUGGGUCUAUAUUUGUUGUAUUUGGACUCCCAACAUU